GAUAAUUUCUGUAUAUAAUAAUCUUCGGGAUAUAGGCUUUCUAGAAAUGUUUUUCUUUUUUGCAUAUAUUCUAUACUUUUUUGUUAAUAUGACGUUGAAUAUUGUGGUAUUUAAUGUUAAAAAAUUAACAUUUCGGGAUACACGUCACAACAAUAAACCUCCAAUGACCAUGUACAAUGUACAUGAACCUAUAAAUCUCUGAAUUUAUCAAGUUAUAUGCACUCAAAUAGCUAGAAUGGCUUAUUCAAUGAUCAUAAUAAGCAUUUUUGACCAAAUUUGGGAAAUAGAAAUAAGAAAUAUUUUGGAAAUGAUGUUCAAAGCCGUGAUUGUUCAACUUUACUUUUAAAUUAUUUUUACUUGAAUUUUAAAAUACUGAAAUAAGAAGAAUAAAUAUAGUAUGUAGUUUAUUUACAUGGUGAAAGAAGUGAAUCAUUGGAACAAUUCUGUUUCAUAUCAUAUUCCAUAGUUUUGGGUUUUUUUGUUUUCUUUCUUAUUUUUUUUUUAGUAUUAAAACGACCGAGUAUCGAAAGCAAUGGUAACGAAAUAAGUUGACACCGCGUCUCGUCAAAACAUGUUCAAUUCGAAUUUACUCGGAAUUACACGUUCAACGAGCAUUUGCUGUGAAACCUGGUUAAAGGAAAAUUACUGUAGACACCUAAUAGUGAUUUGUACAGAAGCGAGCCCCGGCAGGAAUGAUGGCCUCUUUUGAAAUGAAGAUUUCAUGCCUUACUCCUACUGGGACUACAACUAACUUUGGACCUGGUCACUCGCAGAUACAGCAUGAAGUGUGCCCUCUUGAUGUACAUGGGGAUGGGAGUGAUACAGAAGGGGGACUAAUUGGAAGAACUGCUGCUGCUGGUGGUGGUGCUGGACUGUCUUGAAUCUGUUGCCUAACCGACUUGAUAUUCUUCUGUUUAAUAUGGGAGCAACACACACACUCUGGCAUAUAUUGCACAGAAAAUCAUGAUCAGAUGGUGCCCUCCCUAUCAGAGUGGUGAUCACUGACCUAUAUUUCUUUGAAAUCCUGGAUCUGUGUUUUGGUUUUACUCUCCAUGGACAGUUGAAACAGAGAAAGAAUUAGGGACCACUCCUUGGCAUAUCUGAAAUAUUUAUGUCAUAUACAUGUAAUUAAAAUAUACAAUUUGGGUUGGAUGAAAAUCUUAUCUUCAUGUUAAAACCCAUUAGCCUAGGUUAUUUUUCCUAAAAUCUAAUUAUAAAUCAAUUAACUUGUUAAUUAAUGCUUGGUGAAUCAAUUAAUAAAUUGUAUUCAAGAACUUGGAAUUAUUUUUUUUCCCACUAAUAAACUGAAAAUGUGUAUCUUCAAA